GAUGAACGCUGGCGGCGUGCCUAAUACAUGCAAGUCGAGCGAACAGAUGAGGAGCUUGCUCCUCUAACGUUAGCGGCGGACGGGUGAGUAACACGUGGAUAACCUACCUAUAAGACUGGGAUAACUUCGGGAAACCGGAGCUAAUACCGGAUAAUAUAUUGAACCGCAUGGUUCAAUAGUGAAAGACGGUUUUGCUGUCACUUAUAGAUGGAUCCGCGCCGCAUUAGCUAGUUGGUAAGGUAACGGCUUACCAAGGCAACGAUGCGUAGCCGACCUGAGAGGGUGAUCGGCUACACUGGAACUGAGACACGGUCCAGACUCCUACGGGAGGCAGCAGUAGGGAAUCUUCCGCAAUGGGCGAAAGCCUGACGGAGCAACGCCGCGUGAGUGAUGAAGGUCUUCGGAUCGUAAAACUCUGUUAUUAGGGAAGAACAAAUGUGUAAGUAACUAUGCACGUCUUGACGGUACCUAAUCAGAAAGCCACGGCUAACUACGUG
rnacentral:rRNA from 1 species